UACGGAGGCAGCAGUGGGGAAUAUUGGACAAUGGGCGAAAGCCUGAUCCAGCCAUGCCGCGUGUGUGAAGAAGGCCUUCGGGUUGUAAAGCACUUUCAGUGGGGAAGAAAGCCUUGGGGCUAAUACCCUCGAGGAAGGACAUCACCCACAGAAGAAGCACCGGCUAACUCCGUGCCAGCAGCCGCGGUAAUACGGAGGGUGCGAGCGUUAAUCGGAAUUACUGGGCGUAAAGCGCGCGUAGGCGGUCUGAUAAGCCGGUUGUGAAAGCCCCGGGCUCAACCUGGGAACGGCAUCCGGAACUGUCAGGCUAGAGUGCAGGAGAGGAAGGUAGAAUUCCCGGUGUAGCGGUGAAAUGCGUAGAGAUCGGGAGGAAUACCAGUGGCGAAGGCGGCCUUCUGGACUGACACUGACGCUGAGGUGCGAAAGCGUGGGUAGCAAACAGGAUUAGAUACCCGGGUAGUC
rnacentral:rRNA from 1 species